GAUGAACGCUGGCGGCGUGCUUAACACAUGCAAGUCGAGCGAGAAGUUUUGAACAGAUUCUUCGGAUGAAAUUUAAAAUGGAAAGCGGCGGACGGGUGAGUAACGCGUAGGCAACCUGCCCCAUACAAAGGGAUAGCAUUUGGAAACGAAUAUUAAUACCUUAUGAAACUUAACUAGUGCAUGCUAGGUAGGUCAAAGAUUUAUCGGUAUGGGAUGGGCCUGCGUCUGAUUAGCUAGUUGGUGAGGUAACGGCUCACCAAGGCGACGAUCAGUAGCCGACCUGAGAGGGUGAACGGCCACAUUGGAACUGAGACACGGUCCAAACUCCUACGGGAGGCAGCAGUGGGGAAGAUUGCACAAUGGGGGAAACCCUGAUGCAGCAACGCCGCGUGAACGAUGAAGGCCUUUGGGUCGUAAAGUUCUGUUCUAGGUGAUGAAAACUGACAGUAACCUAGGAGAAAGCCCCGGCUAACUCCGUG
rnacentral:rRNA from 1 species